AUGCAAGUCGAGCGGUAGCACGGGGAGCUUGCUCCUGGGUGACGAGCGGCGGACGGGUGAGUAAUGUCUGGGGAUCUGCCUGAUGGAGGGGGAUAACUACUGGAAACGGUAGCUAAUACCGCAUAACGUCGCAAGACCAAAGAGGGGGACCUUCGGGCCUCUUGCCAUCAGAUGAACCCAGAUGGGAUUAGCUAGUAGGUGGGGUAAUGGCUCACCUAGGCGACGAUCCCUAGCUGGUCUGAGAGGAUGACCAGCCACACUGGAACUGAGACACGGUCCAGACUCCUACGGGAGGCAGCAGUGGGGAAUAUUGCACAAUGGGCGCAAGCCUGAUGCAGCCAUGCCGCGUGUAUGAAGAAGGCCUUCGGGUUGUAAAGUACUUUCAGCGAGGAGGAAGGCAUUAAGGUUAAUAACCUUAGUGAUUGACGUUACUCGCAGAAGAAGCACCGGCUAACUCCGUGCCAGCAGCCGCGGUAAUACGGAGGGUGCAAGCGUUAAUCGGAAUUACUGGGCGUAAAGCGCACGCAGGCGGUUUGUUAAGUCGGAUGUGAAAUCCCCGGGCUCAACCUGGGAACUGCAUUCGAAACUGGCAAGCUUGAGUCUUGUAGAGGGGGGUAGAAUUCCAGGUGUAGCGGUGAAAUGCGUAGAGAUCUGGAGGAAUACCGGUGGCGAAGGCGGCCCCCUGGA
rnacentral:rRNA from 1 species